AGAUUGAACGCUGGCGGCAUGCCUUACACAUGCAAGUCGAACGGCAGCACGGGAGCAAUCCUGGUGGCGAGUGGCGAACGGGUGAGUAAUAUAUCGGAACGUGCCCAGUCGUGGGGGAUAACGUAGAGAAAUUUACGCUAAUACCGCAUACGAUCCAAGGAUGAAAGCGGGGGACCGUAAGGCCUCGCGCGGCUGGAGCGGCUGAUAUCAGAUUAGCUUGUUGGUGAGGUAAAAGCUCACCAAAGGCGACGAUCUGUAGCUGGUUUGAGAGAACGACCAGCCACACUGGGACUGAGACACGGCCCAGACUCCUACGGGAGGCAGCAGUGGGGAAUUUGGACAAGUGGGACGAAAGCC
rnacentral:rRNA from 1 species